UUUUUUCAAAUUCGUAAAAAUUAAAAUACAAUUUAAGUCUAAAAUGACAAAAUCUCAAUAAUUAAUGUAAUUUCUGAAUAUACAGUAUGUAUAUUUCAGAAUAAUAAAGAUAUGAAGAGAAACCUGAGAAACGAAACUUUUGUAAUGACCUCAUUGGCAGAUCCAGGGGGGGGGGGGGGGGGGCGUUCCGGGGGUUGAAACCCCCCCUUUUUUUUGCCGAUCAAUGCAUUUGAAUGGGGACAUAGUUGGAACCCCUUUGUCCUGGGUUGGGAACCCCCCUUUUUAAAAUGGCUGGAUCCACCCCUGGACCUUAAAAGAGUUUGUUAUUAUAUGAACAAAAACAAAUAUUUUUUGUAGAAGACUUGAGUUUGUUACUGUACUAUUCUGUGAUUUGUUAAAUGAUAAUUUUGUUUGUUUUUUGUUGACAUUUUGUACAAAUAUUGUCUAUUUGUUUGUUAAUACUGUAUCAUAUGUUUGUAUAGUGCUUACGUUCAUGACAAAGUAUGAUUUAUUUAUCCCGGUUUGUAAGAGGCAAUUUCUCAAUUUAUAUACAACAUGAAAUACAGUGAAUAUAGGCUUUUUGAAAAAUUUAGGAUUUUCUUAUCCCAGGCAUAGAUUACCUUAGCUGUAUUUGGCACAACGUUUUGGAAUUUUAGAUCCUCAAUGCUCUUUAACUUUGUACUUGUUUGGCUUCAUAGAUAUUUUGAUGUGAGUGUCACUGAUGAGUCUUAUGUAGACGAAACGAGUGUAAUUAAAUUAUAAUUCGGGUACCUUUGAUAACUCUUUUGAACUGUUUAAUGUUUUACAAUGGGUUUUAUAUCAAAGCCAAACCCACAUAAGUGGCUCUAUCAUAUUGUAUGGAAUUUCUUUUAAAAGUACCAACAAAAACAAUAUUUUUUUAAGAAAUGAAUGCUGCGCCAUAAGUGCUGGCCACUUCCCCAAAUAUUUUCCUAAGAAAAUGUAUAACUUAGCUGUAUUUCAGAUUUGAUACAAAGUUUUCAUUAUAUUUUAGAUAAUUAUAGAUUAUCGCUGAUCAUCUCAACGAGAUUGAUUUUCUCACUUGAGCCAGUAUGGAGAAAGUGAGAAAGGCAAUCCAGUUGACAUGACCAAUGAUAAUCUGUUUAUUGCUAUUUUACCUAUGACGAUGUUGUCAAUUUCAUUAGCAAUGCCACAUGCUUCCUUAGUUUCUAGCGAUAAUUUUCUAUCUCAAGCGAGUAGCAUGAUAUGAAAAAUUAUCACAAAAAAAGAUCAAAGGAAAAAUGUAUGACUUCGAUAAAAAAUUAAGUGUUGAUCAAAUACAGUCUGUGGUUACCAUGGUUACAUUUAACAAUAAAAAUUAAUCUAAACCAAAUUCGCUUUAAACGUUUAACAAGAAUUAUUUGAAAUAUUGUCAAUUACAUGUAAAUGUUAUCUGAAUAAAAAAAUUUACUACCUUCAAUAAAUAGACAAUACAUAUAAACACCACUGUACAUAUUGUACAAACACAUUUAAUUUCCAUGAAUAUCAAUAUGUUUCCUGCUAAAAUAAU
rnacentral:lncRNA from 1 species